AUAGCCAGGCAUUCAUGACGAUGGCACUUAUCAAGAAAAAGACACACAUUCUCUAUUUUGUUGCUCUUUUGCUGAUGUGUACCCCUUUUCUGUGUGGCCCUGUAGCAGCUGGGAGGGACAUAGGUAAUUUCCAAAUACGUUUCUUGAAUGAGUUUCUCGAUAUUCAACAAACCCAAAUGAUUAAGUAUCUUGUAUUCCAUAUGUAUUAAUUUGUAUGUUGUGGUGCUUCCUGCAUUGUGUUUAGGUACCAACACUGCAUUUGGAAACCAAUGUUUUACUUACUCGGUAUGCAUGGACCCAUAUCAAUACGCCGUUGAUUACUGCAAUAAAGAGUGAAAAAUUCUUGUCUAUGACGGGCAGAAAGGCUACUACAAGAAGGAGAAUAACGGCGUGUGUUGUUGUGUUGCUCCCUCCCUAAUGUGAAAAUCAUGUUAUACUAUCAUUUUAUAGAAAACCAUUGCUUGUAUUUGCUAGUCAGAAUACCAAUUUAUAUGAAUUAUAUGAGAAUUUCAAUAAAUUAUAGAGGUAGUU
rnacentral:lncRNA from 1 species